GGGUGAGGAAACCGAACCGCUCGCCCGACAGAGGAGGGUGAGGCAAGCGCCUCUUUUUUAUUGAUGAUAGUCCUAUGAAGGCAGGUGCGGGCUGCACUGACAAGAGACUGCUAGUGAUAUGCUGGAGGAAGGUGGGGAUGAUGUCAAGUAUGCAUGGCCCUUAUGGGCUGGGCCACACACAUGCUACAAUGGCAAUGACAAUGGGAAGCAAGGUCGUAAGGUGGAGCGAAUCCGAAAAGAUUGCCUCAGUUCAGAUUGGUCUCUGCAACUCGGGAACAUGAAGUUGGAAUCGCUAGUAAUUGCGUAUCAGCAUGCCGCGGUGAAUAUGUACCCGAGCACUGUACACACCACCCGUCACACCCUGGGAGUUGAUUUCUCCCGAAGCAUCAGACCAAUGAUCACCCUAUCUUAAUGUUUUCAAAAAUAGCCAUCUUAAUGUUUUCUGCAUAGGCUUGAGAAGAAACAUUUGACAA
rnacentral:ncRNA from 1 species